rnacentral:rRNA from 1 species
CUACGUGCCAGCAGCCGCGGUAAUACGUAGGUCCCGAGCGUUGUCCGGAAUUAUUGGGCGUAAAGCGCGCGCAGGCGGAUCAGUCAGUCUGUCUUAAAAGUUCGGGGCUUAACCCCGUGAUGGGAUGGAAACUGCUGAUCUAGAGUAUCGGAGAGGAAAGUGGAAUUCCUAGUGUAGCGGUGAAAUGCGUAGAUAUUAGGAAGAACACCAGUGGCGAAGGCGACUCUCUGGUCUGUAACUGACGCUGAGGCUCGAAAGCGUGGGUAGCAAACAGGAUUAGAUACCCUGGUAGUCCACGCCGUAAACGAUGAGUGCUAAGUGUUGGAGGGUUUCCGCCCUUCAGUGCUGCAGUUAACGCAUUAAGCACUCCGCCUGGGGAGUACGACCGCAAGGUUGAAACUCAAAGGAAUUGACGGGGACCCGCACAAGCGGUGGAUGAUGUGGAUUAAUUCGAUGCAACGCGAAGAACCUUACCUGGUCUUGACAU